CUUUUGUUUACUUUUUAUUCAAAGAUAGCCGCGUCGCUUUUCGUGCGCUUAUAAAACCCAGUUUUUGUGUAGAUUUCUGUGUACAAGCUUGAUUUCCUUGCUACCUAUCCGUGUUACCUCUGUGAUUGUGGGUGGUUGUUGUGUGCAAUUCGAUCGGGAGUUGCUAAUUUUGUUCACCUGUAAAACCUGUAAGUUGGAUGAAAUCAAAUUGUUACCAUGAGCGGUUCGAAUGUGGGAGCUACUAGCUGUGGAUGCGGGCAAGAAUGCAAUUGCACAAGCAUUGCUAACGAAAAUGCCAAACAAUUACAUACUUUAAAAAAUUUGAUACUAGAUGCAAAUAUGAAAUUAGACGAGCUUAUGGAAAUGCAACUAAAUCAACAAAUCCAGCCUCGGUCAAUUAUUGAAAAUGUGGUGCCGGAAGAAGUAAUUGAAGAAGCUUUCGCGUUAAUUUCAUCCAAAGUAGAUUUGGACAAGCUCGAGCAGGAUUUGGUGGUGACAGAGCAUUUCCGAUCGAUUAAAUCAGGUCUCAUGAAAAGGAUCAAGUCGGUAGGGAUUAAAGCAAGGCUG